ACCAGUUCAAGUGAAUCGGCUGGUUCAAGAGAGGAAUAGAAGAGGGAUUUCGGCCAGGGCUCGGAUUUUCUUCUCAUCACUGUGUGCAUCUUUCUUCUCUCGUAUGCCCAAAGCCCCCAAGCUCCUCUUCUCCGAUCUGCUCAAGCCGACGGUAGAUGACAAAGUCGGCGACUCCUGUGAACGACGACCUCUACUAGGGCUCACUUUUCAGCAGAGCGGUUCUACGUCGGCGUGCGGAGUGGUUCUUCCCCGGCAAGGCACCCCUUUUCCAUCCCUUCCUCAAUGAAGGUUCUUUUGUGGACGGUGUUGCAAAAGUAGAAGAUUCCAAGGAGGAAACUAGCCAUCUUCAUCAUCUCCAGUAGAAGCCUUUCUGAAUCCAUCACUGUGUUGCUAUGGAGCCCUUCUUUUGUGGAUAGCAUUGCAGAAGUAGAAGACUCCUCAAUCUCAGUGCAUGUACCAAUUUUGGCUAAAGCAUUCAAGUUUUCGGUAGAACUCACUCAAGAACAUCUAACAGUAUGUGCUGUGGAGCCCUCAUUCCGUGGACGACGUUGCGAAAGCAGAAGACUCCUCCAUUUUGAUGCAAAAAAAAGGCAAAGUAGAGCCAUGAGCACCAGACCCUACAGGGUUCAACAAGAGGAGCUGGUACUUCUCAAAGUUCUGUUGAACGACUCAAAGGUGAAGUGGCCCAACUAAAGGGUGAACUGCUGUUAAGAGCCAAGCUGGCUCUUAUAGAGGAGAGAGACAAGGGGCACAACCAAGUGGUCCAGAUUGAGAGGCUCAAAAAGCAACUGUACUCUUCUAAGGCUCACCUCCGAUCGGAGAACACUUGGAAGCUCUGAGCUAUAUCCAAUUUGGAUCUCAAAAUACUGAAGCUCGGGCCCUCGCUAGGAAGCUGGAGGAGGCCACUUUCACCUCCGGACUAGUCGGCAAGAUGUCUGAACUGUCAGUCAAGGACCUCCAAUUUGAAGAGAAACAAUAAGCCCUAGAUUCAAAGAACGCUGAGCUAGAGGCCUUAAAGGCUGAGCUGGAAACUUCCAAGAUUGAGCUGACAAACUAUAAGGUCGGGGAGUCCAAUCGGCUUGAGGCCUUCAGAGUAGAGUAUCAACACUCCAAGGACUUCAACAUGAUGUUGGUCAAUCAGACUUCCAAGAUAUUAAGUUACGGCACAGAGAUAGUUGUAAAGCAGCUUAGAGAAGGGGCUACUUAUCCGUCAAGAUUCCUAGGAACUUCAUUCGACAUCAGAAGAUCUUGGAGGGCAUUCCAAAUGACGCAUUUCCCGACUCCCCCCGAUGGAGUUUUCAUCCCCCUAUGAUUGUAACAACUUAAAAACUUAUGUUGCUUUAACUAUAUAUAUUUUUCUCAUCCUCUGAUUGCCUUUAAAGCUUUUUUCCUUAGUCUUAUGUUAUGUUUUUUUUUCCUUAGAGUAUUGUCACUUCACUUACUUACAUUCUGGUAAAUAGUACUUGAAUUGCUGUCAAUUUAUGGCGGCAGCACUUCGACUAUGUGAAAAACUUCAAACACAUAGAUGGAAAAUCAUGGACUCGGGGAAACCGCACUCAUAGCUCGACACUAAGGCUCGAGAAUCUAGGACUUAGGCGUGAGAGCAAGUUUGCUUAUAACUCGGCCGAAUGACGUGAAAUUUAGGACUUAGGUGUAAGAGCAAGUUCGCUUAUAACUCGGUCGAAUGGUCCGAGAGUUUGAGACUUAGACAUAAGAGCAAACUCACUUAUAAUUCGACUGAACGGUAUGAGAGUCUAGAACUAAGGUGCGAGAAUAAGCUCACUUAUAACUCGGUCGAACAACACGAGAGUUUGGAACUUAGGCGCAAGAGCAAGCUCGCUUAUAACUCGGCCGAAUGAUGCUAGAGUCUGGGACAUAAGCGCAAGAGCAAGCUCGAUUAUAAUUUAGUCGAAUGACACGCAAGUCUGGAACUUAGAUAUGAGAGCAAAUUCACUUAUAAUUCGACCAAACGACACGAGAGUCUAGAAUAUAUGGGCAUUUUGAGUGGAGUUUGAUUGCAUUUUCAUUGAGCACGAAUACUCGACAAGAUGCAUAUAUUUAUGUCAUACAAGCAUGCCCUCAAGCUCGAUAAGAUUGCAAAUAGUUUCCACUAGAGGAGGAGGAGCGGGGGGAACCCAGUCGACCCUUCCACUUGGGUCCUUCGCUUGUUAUGAGGGUCAGUCAUUGAUGCAUCCAAGUCAUUUGACAAUGGACACCCGACUGUUGCUUGUUAUUAUUGUACCAAUCUCUACGCUUGAACGUCUAUUAACAACUCCAAGUCUUCUUACAAUAAAGUAACUGUAGUAAGUCGUUCAGUCUCUUUCAUCUCCGCGUUUCAGAUUCAAGUUAAAAUUUCCGCAGACGACACCAAAUUUGAUCAUGUCUGAAAUCGGGGAAGAUAAAACAAUGGGCACGUGGCUCUGAAAUUGAUUGUGAAAAGACUCUGUGCUAGAAAUAGAAGAUGUUGUGUGAUCCUGCGUGUCAAAAACAAAAAUUAGAGGAAAAGAAGGUCAGCAACCAGGCCAGGGAAAGGUCCCCGACGUAGACAAUUUGAUGCUCAAGUCAAACAGGCGUCCGAGAGAAAAUGCAAUGAAUAGUAGUGGAGAAUAAUGGAAUCUAGGUGCCUUAGGUUACGUCGCAUAAUGUAACGUACGUGUGCUUAUAGAUGGAGACCCUCGUUAUAGUGUUAAUUUUACUCUCUACACAAAUCUCGAGGCAUUACCAAAAAUGGGCAAGUCCUGUCAUUUUGA